rnacentral:tRNA from 1 species
GCCGAUGUAGCUCAGUGGCAGAGCAGCGGUUUUGUAAACCGCUUACUGGUGUUCGAUUCACCACAUCGGCU